AAUGAACGCUGGCGGCAUGCCUAACACAUGCAAGUCGAACGGGAACAGGAAGACGCUUGCUUCUUUGCUGACGAGUGGCGGGCGGGCGAGUCAUGUCUGGGAAACUGCUUGAUGGAGGGGGUUAACUACUGGAAACGGGAGCUAAUACCGCAUAUCGAUGCAAGACCAAAGAGCGGGACUUUCGGGCCUCUUUCCAUCGGCUGAGCGCAGAUGGGAUGAGCUAGUAGGUGGGGUAACGGCUGACCGAGGCGACGAUCCCUAGCUGGUCUGAGAGGGUGACCGGCCACACUGGAAGUGAGACACGGUCCCGACUCCUACGGGAGGAAGCAGUGGGGAAUAUUGCGCAAUGGGCGAAAGCCUGAUGCAGCAAUGCCGCGUGUAUGAUGAAGGCCUUCGGGUUGUAAAGUGCUUUCAGCGGGGAGGAAGGAAGUAAAGUUUAUACCUGUGCUCAUUGACGUUACCCGCAGAAGAAGCACCGGCUAACUCCGUG
rnacentral:rRNA from 1 species